AGCGCCACCUGCUUCCUGCGGCAAGUGCAUGGCGGCUUCCUGUUUACAUUUUUGAACUCCGCAUGCUUUCAACUUCCAAGCUUGACGCUGUUGUUCAUGACAUUGUGAAAAAUAUAUGGAUAUAUAUGGGUGGUGAUGAUAUUUAGCAUCAUCCGGAAAGUCAAGCAUCGAUAUUUGGUCUACGACAAUUUGCCUACUGGUCAUCAAAGGGCUCGGUACAACGUAAGCUUUGCCUUUUUCUGGCAAUAGAUGCUGGAAUUUUUUCAAAACGCCAACUACACGUGCAAGCUUACUUUGAAGAUGUUCUUUGUGACUAUCCCAUAGCAUGAAUUCAUUAAAGUAGACUCCAAGCAUUCUGUGUUAGUAAUUUCUAUGGCAUUCCCUCCUAAGCUUGCAGAUAUUGAACAGCUGAUGGUGCGACAAGAAUCCCAGUAUCUUCCUUGCUGUACAUUUUGAAACAAUUCUUGAACAUACAAUUUCCGUCGUGAAGUGGUACAUCCUUUGGUCAUCCUACUGUGUUGCUCCUGAAAUGCCAAUAAAGAUUACAAUGUAGAAAAUUUGCUUUGUUUUAUUUUUAUUUGAAGACAUCAUUCAAAGUGUAUGUCCAGGCUCUAAAAUUCAUAUUGACCGAGCAUACUUACUGAACCAAGGUGCCC